rnacentral:rRNA from 1 species
CGGACGGGUGAGUAAUGUCUGGGAAACGUGCCUGAUGGAGGGGGAUAACUACUGGAAACGGUAGCUAAUACCGCAUAACGUCGCAAGACCAAAGAGGGGACCUUCGGCCUCUUGCCAUCGGAUGUGCCCAGAUGGGAUUAGCUAGUAAGUGGGGUAAAGGCUCACCUAGGCGACGAUCCCUAGCUGGUCUGAGAGGAUGACCAGCCACACUGGAACUGAGACACGGUCCAG